CCUCUCCUCUGUGGCCCAUCCUGGGACUUCACAACCCUGGAGAUGGUGACAGCUUUCUCAAACUGGACCACAGAGCAUCCAAGAAGAUUUGUCAUUGAUGGGGGGCACCAGGGUCCCUAAUUAGAAUUAAAACCCAAAGAUUUCACCUCGUUAUCCUUCUCAGGAUGCAAGUCAUCCCAAGUUCUCCUGAACCUCAUUUCUCCAAUUGCAGUCAUUUAAGCCCAGGAUGUGAGAGAGAGCACGGCCUCCCAGGACCCUGGCAAUGGAGUCAAGCAACAGGGACCAAAACAUCUGACACCAUGGGCCGGAGUAAAUCUUUCUUCCAGUAAG